CCAGUGAUAGCGAUGGUGCUGUGGCUCCGCAGCCACGCACCACUACCAAGACUGGGCGCAAUGUAAAGUUCAGCUAUGCUGAAAACAUGGCGUUGGUGCGGGAGCUGAUGAGGCAUCAUCGCCAAUUGUUUGGGCAGGAUGCUGCCAAGGUGUCCUCCCGCAGGAAGUCUGUCCUGUGGGGGAAAGUUAUCCAGGCAGUUAAUAGUGAGGGUGUGGUGAGGCGGACUGAGGACAUGUGUCGCAAAAGGUUUUACGACAUCAAGCGCCGUGUCAAGGCCAAGAUGGCCAAGGAGGAGCCUGUGAUUGGGAGGAGCCUGUGCGGGCACUGAUUCCUGCAGAAGUGGUGUCUGCAACUCAUGUCCGGGAUUCGGACCGUCCAAGGCAGGAUGUACGCCAGACCAGCGCUCCAGACAGGCCACUGCCAACUGAUGUGGGUGCUGGGUUUGCAGGUUCUUCUUCUGCAAGCCGCCCUCUAAGGCGCCCAUCACAGGGCUCGGGUAACUUACCGAGGAGGCCAAGUAAGACGCGCCGUGUGGAUUUGGAUUCAGCGGAUCCAUCUUCCCCACCCAGGCGGCGCAUCUCUGCAGUCUUGUCCCAGCCACCACAGGCACUAUUGGCUAGUCCCCAAAGUGAUGAGCCCCGAUCACCUCAGUUAUCUGAACCAACCUUCAUGGCCGACGUGGACCAGCAGGAACCAGACCAACAGGCCACCUAUACACUGCAACUAACACCAGUUGUUGAGAGAGACCCAGGCAACCCAGCCGCAGGAUAUCCCCCAACCCUCCAUUAGUCCCCAACUGCUCCAAGCUCCACCCCAGCAACAAAUGUCCGCGGACUUUUGGUCCAGUUUGGCAACCCAACAGAGCCAAAACACUGCCUGCCUGAACGCCCACACCCAACACCUUGCCAGUCUCCCCAAUCAUCUUCCGCGCAUUAGCAGGAACUCGGGCAGACUGAUUGUCCAGGUAGGCAGAAUUGCCACUUCUAUGGAACAAAUCCGGACCGACAACACUCAAAUGCUGGCUAAUUUAACGCGCAUAAUUGAUGAGCAACAGCGCCAGCAGCAAGCACUCAUCCAACUGGUCCAACACAAUCAGGUGGUAAAUGAGUCAUUGUCGAGGAUUGUGGCCAGCCACACUGCAAGUAACAACCAACUGAAUGCCAGCAUCCACAAUUUAAGCCAAAGCAUCACUUUGAUGGCAGCACAACAAGUGACCUCCAGCUCAGGAACCACGACCCCUAGCCAAACCCCAGUAACCUCCCCUGUUCGUAGAUCCUCCCGAGCACGUGCCAGCGACCCAGCACAAAGCACGGCACCCAGCACACACAAGAAAA